GAUGAACGCUGGCGGCGUGCCUAAUACAUGCAAGUCGAGCGAACGGACGAGAAGCUUGCUUCUCUGAUGUUAGCGGCGGACGGGUGAGUAACACGUGGAUAACCUACCUAUAAGACGGGGAUAACUUCGGGAAACCGGAGCUAAUACCGGAUAAUAUUUUGAACCGCAUGGUUCAAAAGUAAAAGACGGUGUUGCGGUCACGUAUAGAUGGAUCCGCGCUGGAUUAGCUAGUUGGUAAGGUAACGGCUUACCAAGGCAACGAGGCAUAGCCGACGUGAGAGGGUGAUCGCCCACACUGGAACUGAGCCACGGACAAGACUACUAAGGGAGGCAGCAGUAGGGAAUCUUACGCAGUGGGCGAGAGCAUGACGCAGCAACGCGGCGUGAGAGAUGAAGGUCUUCGGAUCGUAAAGCUCUGUUAUGAGGGAAGAACAUAUGUGUAAUUAAAUGAGCACAUAUUGACGGUACCUAAUCAGAAAGCAACGGCUAACUACGUG
rnacentral:rRNA from 1 species